CUUGACGCUAUUCCUUCAGUCGUUGAAUAAAAUCUUAAUAAACUGAAUUGAUUUCGGUCGCCCGUAAUAUUUUCAAGUGAAAAUGAAACGAAAUUUCAUUGUGCUUCUUUUCAUCAUCGGAAUUGUGCAUAGUAGAUCGUUACCCGUGAACCCUUUAGAUACAAUUAUUGAAUCUUUAAGUAGCGAUCCAGUUUCCGUAGUUCGAGUAACUCGUCAAUUUGGUUCUGAGGGAUCCGGAAGAUCUAACGGAGCGUAUAACAAUUUUGACUACAAUCCAUUCAAUGACACACCCACCAAUUAUGACGACGAUCCUUACAAUGAUUCAACUCGUCGACUACUCUACAAUCCAAGGUCAAUCCAUCUUCAAUAUUAUUCCUAAUAUCCACGAUGAAUAAAUUAUUUACCAAAACUGA